AGCACCUUUAGGUGAUUGAGUUGAAUUUGAAUUUCUUAAAUCUUUAACCUCAGCUCGUUUAGGUAAUUGAAUUGAAUUCAAAUUUCUCAAAUCUUUGACAAGCUGUACAUGAUUUAUUACUGUUGAAUCUACUCCAUGCUUGUCAUAUCCUGCUAAAAACGGGGCUAUUAAUAGAGGCAUAUAACAAAAUUAAUUAAAAAAUGUUCACCAGGGCAUCACUAUCUGCAAAUUCCCUGUUUGUAAAUGAUGAAUAUGACGGUUUUUGUGAAAUCUUGUUUUCAUUUGACGAAAAUUGAAAUUAAUAACUUGGUAUGUGUUAUUUUAUUGGAAAAAUCACUGGUAACAUUUGAUAGUUGCAUUCAUACAGGAGAACGCACGGGUUGUGUUGUUGAAGUUAUGACACAAUUACAAUUAGCAUAUGCCCAGAACUGGUAGCACAAGAGCAAGCUAAAAUGAUUGAAAUGCAAAACAAAAUUUGUGAAGAGAUUAAGAAGUUUAUGAGGAUGCGCAAGGAUCGGGCAGGCAUGGAGGUUGAUGAAGAUGAUUAUCAAUCAGAGGAAUCUUAUUGACAAACACUUUUAUUGGCAAUGGUGGAAAACAGUUUUGGGCUGUAUCAGAAGAUUUUAUUUUGUGUUUUUGGAAAUAUUUUGACAUAGGAUUUUGGUAAAUAAUUUAUGGAUUAAAUGUUUAGCAUCAAAAUAUUUGGUUGUGUUUUUGAAAAUAUUUUGACAUA